GCCGUUGUAGCUCAGAGGUAGAGCGCAUCCUUGGUAAGGCUGAGGUCCAGGGUUCGAAUCCUGCAACGGCACCA
rnacentral:tRNA from 1 species